GAUGAACGCUGGCGGCGUGCCUAAUACAUGCAAGUCGAGCGAACGGACGAGAAGCUUGCUUUUCUGAUGUUAGCGGCGGACGGGUGAGUAACACGUGGAUAACCUACCUAUAAGACUGGGAUAACUUCGGGAAACCGGAGCUAAUACCGGAUAAUAUUUUGAACCGCAUGGUUCAAAAGUGAAAGACGGUCUUGCUGUCACUUAUAGAUGGAUCCGCGCUGCAUUAGCUAGUUGGUAAGGUAACGGCUUACCAAGGCAACGAUGCAUAGCCGACCUGAGAGGGUGAUCGGCCACACUGGAACUGACACACGGUCCAGACUCCUACGGGAGGCAGCAGUAGGGAAUCUUCCGCAAUGGGCGAAAGCCUGACGGAGCAACGCCGCGUGAGUGAUGAAGGUCUUCGGAUCGUAAAACUCUGUUAUUAGGGAAGAACAUAUGUGUAAGUAACUGUGCACAUCUUGACGGUACCUAAUCAGAAAGCCACGGCUAACUACGUG
rnacentral:rRNA from 1 species